rnacentral:piRNA from 1 species
CGUGGGAACGAGAAGACACUCGUGGAGGAGUC